CAUUUUGCACGUGUACGAAACGGUGUUUACCAUUCUGGGAAAUGAGGAUAUAUGACUGCCAAUCCAAGAUCACAUCGCAGAAAACAGUAGAUCGUGUCAUCAAACGAUGCCAAUAGAUCAUCAUUGGAGCAAUGCUGUGAAAAGCCUUUCUUCUUAUCUAUGGAGGUCAUAAAUCUUAUGGACAAAUCUUGAUAGAUUGCUUGUGGACUAUCCAUUGAUUGGUCCCCAUCAUAUAUCUUAUGGGCAAGCUUUGUUAAUGGACCUUAGAGAAGCAUUAGUAAUGGACUGUUAGGCAAGCUUGGUAUAUGGCCUGUGAACAUUUUUUGAUAUAUGGCCUGUGGACAAGCCUUGGCAAAUAACUUGUGGACAAGUCUUCAUGGACAUUGGGGAACAGUGGAUCUCAUAUAAUAAGAGGAAAGUGGAUGAGGCAGAAUAGCAAGUGGUAAACCAGAGAGUUUAAUUACCUCAGAGUUUUCAUGAAGACAGCUGUGCUGCUCAAGGUGUGGUAUUGCAACAAAUUUGGAGAUACCACAGAGGCUUGAGGAGCAAACUCUCACUUCCUUUCCUGGACAAGCCUUGGUUGGUAGCCUGUGAACAAGCCUUGAUUGGUAGCCUGUGGACAAGCCUUGGUUGGUAGCCAAUGGACAAGCCUUGGUUGGUAGCCUGUGGACAAGCCCUGGAACAAAGCUGUGGACAAAUUUUUUACUGACAGUGGUGAAUCCUGGAUCGUGGAUGAGAGUGGUUACUGGAUAAGGCUGGAUAAGAAAGUGGUGAACCAGAGAGUUGAAAGCUAUAGAUACGAUGCAACAGAUCUGCCAAAUGAAAGCAUCACAACUGGACAGCACAAUACUAGCAAGAACAUGGACCCAUCCUGGUAGAAGAACCUUGACAAUUCACCCUGGAAGCAAGUACAGGAUUAGUUAUCAUAAUUAUUUCCAUUAAUGCUAGAUUAUAUUUUAAGCCCAGCCUGGAAGGUCAUUGAAUGUGGGGUGCAGCUGGCCCAGGGUUUUCCUUCUAGGUGUAAGUGGACAUAUGGGGAGGUUUUUCACCCAGCUGUUGUUCCACCACCCCCACUCAUUAAGUUCUUUUUUUCCUACACAUGUAGUUCAUAAUAAUGGGAAAGUGUGUGUGCCCCAGUUGUUCAAACAAGUGCUUUUGGGGUCUCAGGUUCCAGGGCUUAGGUUUUUGGGUCUCAGUUUUUAUUGAAUCUCAGGUCUUAGAGCUUGGGUUUCUGGGUCACAGGAUUUUCAGGUCCUGGGUUUUUUCGGUGGUAAGUUUUUUGGGCAUUCGGUUAUUUUGAGUUUUGGUUAAACUGCCUUAGUAGAUUUUUAUUGAAUGUCCACUCUAAGAGCUUUGGUUUCUGGGUCAUAGGAUUUUCAGGUUUUGGGUUUUUUAGGUCAUGGUGAGUUUUUAGGUUUUUAGGUUUUUGGGGGCUCAGGGUUGAUGGCUUAGGUUUAAAGGUCUCUCUGGGUCAUGGGAUAUUUGGGUACUGGGUUUUCUGAGUGGUGGGUUUUUUGGGUCUUAGAUUUCUUUGGGUUCAGGUUUAAUGGGCUAGGUAUUUGGGACUUGGUUUUUAUUAAAUCUCAGGUCAAUAGGUUUCUGGGUCAAACCAUUUUCAGGGUCUUGGGUUUUUUUUUUGGGUGGUAAGCUCUUGGUUCUUAGAAUUGUUUGGGUUCAGGUUUAAUGGGCUUAGGUUUAUGGGUCUUGGUUUCUUUUCUUUUUUUUUUGCUUAUUAGGAUUUUCUGGUCUCAAGUUUUUUAGUCAUAAAUG